rnacentral:rRNA from 1 species
AUAACGAUACGGAACUCAUACGAGGCUCCGUAAUCGGAAUGAGUACACUUUAAAUCCUUUAACGAGGAUCUAUUGGAGGGCAAGUCUGGUGCCAGCAGCCGCGGUAAUUCCAGCUCCAAUAGCGUAUAUUAAAGUUGUUGCGGUUAAAAAGCUCGUAGUUGGAUCUCGGUUUCACUCAGGCGGUACACCUUGCGGUGUUCACUGUCUGGGCGGACGUUUCUGUUGGUUCGCUAUUGGUUCUCUUAAUCGAGUGCCAGCCGGUGGCCAGCACGUUUACUUUGAAAAAAUUGGAGUGCUCAAAGCAGGCGUUACAGCCUGAACAUUAGUGCAUGGAAUAAUGGAAUAGGAUCUCGAUUCUAUUUCGUUGGCUUUCGGAGUCGAGGUAAUGAUUAAUAGGGACAGACGGGGGCAUUCGUACUGCGACGUUAGAGGUGAAAUUCUUGGAUCGUCGCAAGACGAACUACUGCGAAAGCAUUUGCCAAGAAUGUUUUCAUUAAUCAAGAACGAAAGUUAGAGGUUCGAAGGCGAUCAGAUACCGCCCUAGUUCUAACCAUAAACGAUGCCAACCGGCGAUCCGUCGUCGUUAAUUGAAUGACUCGACGGGCAGCCUCCGGGAAACCAGAGUGUUUGGGUUCCGGGGGAAGUAUGGUUGCAAAGCUGAAACUUAAAGGAAUUGACGGAAGGGCACCACCAGGAGUGGAGCCUGCAGCUUAAUUUGACCCAACACGGGAAAUCUCACCAGGCCCGGACACCGGAAGGAUUGACAGAUUGAGAGCUCUUUCUUGAUUCGGUGGGUGGUGGUGCAUGGCCGUUCUUAGUUGGUGGAGCGAUUUGUCUGGUUAAUUCCGAUAACGAACGAGACUCUGGCCUACUAACUAGAAGGGCCGUUCUUUAUGAGCGGUCCUCUGCUUCUUAGAGGGACGGGCGGCGUUUAGCCGCACGAGAAUGAGCAAUAACAGGUCUGUGAUGCCCUUAGAUGUUCUGGGCUGCACGCGCGCUACACUGAAGGAAUCAGCAUGUUCUCCCCUCCCUGAAAAGGGCGGGUAACCCGUUGAAACUCCUUCGUGAUGGGGAUUGGAGAUUGUAAUUAUUCUCCAUGAACGAGGAAUUCCCAGUAGGCGCGAGUCAUCAGCUUGCGUCGAUUACGUCCCUGCCCUUUGUACACACCGCCCGUCGCUACUACCGAUCGAGUGAUUUAGUGAGGACUUCGGACUGGUCUUCAAGUUGGCUUCGGUCAGCUCGAAGCUCCGGAAAGAUGCCCAAACUUGAUCACUUAGAGGAAGUAAAAGUCGUAACAAGGUUUCUGUAGGUGAACCUGCGGAAG